AGGGCACCACCAGGAGUGGAGCCUGCGGCUUAAUUUGACUCAACACGGGAAAACUCACCCGGCCCGGACACUGGAAGGAUUGACAGAUUGAGAGCUCUUUCUUGAUUCAGUGGGUGGUGGUGCAUGGCCGUUCUUAGUUGGUUGAGCGAUUUGUCUGGUUAAUUCCGAUAACGAACGAGACUCUAGCCUACUAAAUAGAUCGUCGGCUUACAAACGCCGAUGAGACUUCUUAGAGGGACAGGCGGCGAUUCAGCCGCACGAAACAGAGCAAUAACAGGUCUGUGAUGCCCUUAGAUGUCCGGGGCCGCACGCGCGCUACACUGAAGUGAUCAGCGUGCAUUUUCAGCCUACUCUGCCAAGAGUGGGAAACCCAAUGAACCUUCUUCGUGAUUGGGAUAGGGGAUUGUAAUUAUUCCCCUUGAACGAGGAAUUCCCAGUAAGCGCGAGUCAUAAGCUCGCGUUGAUUACGUCCCUGCCCUUUUGUACACACAGCCCGUCGCUACACCUAUAGAAUGUUUU
rnacentral:rRNA from 1 species